rnacentral:scRNA from 1 species
UUCCGGUAGAAAGUCACGUAUUGCCGGUCCUA